GCGGACGUGGCGAAAUUGGUAGACGCAAGAGACUUAAAAUCUCUCGAGGAGACUUGUACGGGUUCGACCCCCGUCGUCCGCA
rnacentral:tRNA from 4 species